CGCCGCGUGAGGGACGACGGCCUUCGGGUUGUAAACCUCUUUCAGUAGGGACGAAGCGCAAGUGACGGUACCUACAGAAGAAGCACCGGCCAACUACGUGC
rnacentral:rRNA from 1 species